CACACGACUCUCGGCAACGGAUAUCUCGGCUCUCGCAUCAAUGAAGAAGGUAGCAAAAUGUGAUACCUGGUGUGAAUUGCAGAAUCCCGCGAACCAUCGAGUCUUUGAACGCAAGUUGCGCCCGAGGCCACUCGGUCGAGGGCACGCCUGCCUGGGCGUCACAC
rnacentral:rRNA from 1 species